GGUACUAUAAUUGUUAUUGUCUUCUAGCCUGUGUACGAGCUGCCUGACCUGCUGGCGGAAUACACCCGCCACGGCGUGCCGAGCCUCAAAGGUUGGUGCAUCGCCGACAUACCAGCAGAGGCCUUCCGCUAUCUGCAAUGGGCCGAGACACCAACAAACCUAGAGGAGGUGUGCGACUGGAAAAAGUUGCCACCCAGUGAAGAAUCACGACAGGCGGUGAUUAAGGAACUAAUCACCACCGAAGCGGCUUAUAUACGCCAUCUUAAAGCUAUCGUGGAGGUAUUCAUCGCUACCGCCCACGCCCUGCAAGAUGCAGGGAAGCUACUUGAAGUAGACUCUGAGAGACUAUUUACAAAUAUCCCAGAUGUGCUCAAUGCGAGCCUUCUCUUUUGGGAAGCUACAUUAUACCCGAUGAUUGCUGAUGCCUGUGAAAAGCGGAACCCGUAAGUAUGAACGACCUGUAAUUUAAGUAGGUGAUAGUAACUACUAAACAGGAGGUCGAAUUCGAUUCCCGCCCGGAAUU